AACGAACGCUGGCGGCAGGCUUAACACAUGCAAGUCGAACGCAUCCUUCGGGGUGAGUGGCAGACGGGUGAGUAACGCGUGGGAACGUGCCCUUCAGUUCGGGAUAACCCAGGGAAACUUGGGCUAAUACCGGAUACGUGCGAGAGCAGAAAGAUUUAUCGCUGAAGGAUCGGCCCGCGUCUGAUUAGCUAGUUGGUGGGGUAAUGGCCCACUAAGGCGACGAUCAGUAGCUGGUCUGAGAGGAUGAUCAGCCACAUUGGGACUGAGACACGGCCCAAACGCCGACGGGAGGCAGCAGUGGGGAAUAUUGGACAAUGGGCGCAAGCCUGAUCCAGCCAUGCCGCGUGAGUGAUGAAGGCCUUAGGGUUGUAAAGCUCUUUCGUCCGGGACGAUAAUGACGGUACCGGAAGAAGAAGCCCCGGCUAACUUCGUGCCAGCCGCCGCCGUAA
rnacentral:rRNA from 1 species